AGUGAACGCUGGCGGUAGGCCUAACACAUGCAAGUCGAACGGCAGCACAGUAAGAGCUUGCUCUUACGGGUGGCGAGUGGCGGACGGGUGAGGAAUACAUCGAAAUCUACUUUUUCGUGGGGGAUAACGUAGGGAAACUUACGCUAAUACCGCAUACGACCUACGGGUGAAAGCAGGGGAUCUUCGGACCUUGCGCGAUUGAAUGAGCCGAUGUCGGAUUAGCUAGUUGGCGGGGUAAAGGCCCACCAAGGCGACGAUCCGUAGCUGGUCUGAGAGGAUGAUCAGCCACACUGGAACUGAGACACGGUCCAGACUCCUACGGGAGGCAGCAGUGGGGAAUAUUGGACAAUGGGCGCAAGCCUGAUCCAGCCAUACCGCGUGGGUGAAGAAGGCCUUCGGGUUGUAAAGCCCUUUUGUUGGGAAAGAAAAGCAGCAGGUUAAUACCCCGCUGUUCUGACGGUACCCAAAGAAUAAACACCGGCUAACUUCGUG
rnacentral:rRNA from 1 species